rnacentral:tRNA from 1 species
GGAUAGUUGGCCGAGUUGGUUAUGGCGCUAUUUUGCUAAAAUAGUGGUGUGAAAAACACUUCAUUGGUUCAAAUCCAAUACUAUCCG